UGGAAAACAUGCUGACAAAUACAUUGACCAUAAAACAACUGUUAAGCCCUAUCCAGACGGGAGUAGUUUCUCAUGGGGCCUAGAGUAUUGGUGGCAUAUCUGUCAUUGAGAUUUAUUCCCAUUGCAUGUGACGUCUCUUCAGUUUGGAUGUUAGUGGUUGAGUCUGGAGGUGGUUUGCUCUUCUGAUAAAUAAUAAAGAUUGAAUGAAUCUCUCUCUUCCCUCCAGCCGGCCGAUCUCCUGUCUGUCUGCUUUCCUGGAAGAAGGGAUGAAUCUCUCGUUUUAAAGCCUCCAGCAAAGAGAAACACCUUCAAGUGUGUCCCUCCCUCAGUUUAUGGUUUGUUAUGAGUGGAGUGCUGACUGGGCUUUGUGGAAGCUGGGCAUCUAUUUACGUCUGAUUUCAGAGAGCGGAGCCGGUGCUGACGAGGACAGGAAGUGGCCGGUGAUGGAUGGAGGAGGGGAGCACAUGUGGAUUUGGAUCAUUAGUGUGUGGAGUUACGCUGAAGAUCAAAGUGAAGAGUUAUGGAGAUUUAUGGAGAGGGAGGAAGUGCGGGAUUGCCAUCGACUGUCUUCUGUCCAUCACAGCUCUAAUGAAGAUUACAGUCCAACAGAUAUCGUUUGGGGUUGUGUUAAAGCAGAGAAUCCACUAAAAUGUGCUGGGCAGGAUGUCUCCAAAACCAGGAUUAGGAAACACAGCUUUAACGGAAGUGUUUUCUGACUACUUUCCUCAUUGCGAGUUCUAAACCCGAACCCCGAGAGCGAUUUGCUCCACUUAGAGCUGGAUCUCAGACCGUUCUCGGUUCUCUGACGCUGUUUAAGACGCUGGUUGCGAGUAGGCCGGGUACACAUUCAUUCUCAGUUGCUCCACACCCUCUAAGCUCUGCGGUUGUUUGUAGAUGUUCAAACCUCCGUAUCGACUCGCACAAUGCCGAAACGCUCCCCCGAGCUGCCAGAGAUUCGGACGCCCACUUGUGUGGCCGGGAUGAGAUUGCAGCAGACGAUGCCUGGAUGGAGAUUGUCUGAGUCAAACGAGGAAGAACUCAAUCAAAGUCCUUCACCGGAGAGUGGGCGAGCGUCCCCCUGCCAACUCCCCAAUCCCCUUCCACUCGAAACGGAUCGCACUUUUUCAAAAGAGCCCCAACCUGGAGGCAAACCCAAACUCUGUCUGCACGCUUCAAACGCACAAAUAAACAGGAGACACAGCAGAGGAAUAGGCUCUGU
rnacentral:lncRNA from 1 species